rnacentral:rRNA from 1 species
AUUGAACGCUGGCGGCAGGCUUAACACAUGCAAGUCGAACGGAGAUGAGGUGCUUGCACCUUAUCUUAGCGGCGGACGGGUGAGUAAUGCUUAGGAAUCUGCCUAUUAGUGGGGGACAACAUUCCGAAAGGAAUGCUAAUACCGCAUACGUCCUACGGGAGAAAGCAGGGGAUCUUCGGACCAUGCGCUAAUAGAUGAGCCUAAGUCGGGUUAGCUAGUUGGUGGGGUAAAGGCCUACCAAGGCGACGAUCUGUAGCGGGUCUGAGAGGAUGAUCCGCCACACUGGGACUGGGGCACGGCCCAGACUCCGACGGGAGGCAGCAGUGGGGAAUAUUGGACAAUGGGGGGAACCCUGAUCCAGCCAUGCCGCGUGUGUGAAGAAGGCCUUAUGGUUGUAAAGCACUUUAAGCGAGGAGGAGGCUACUGAGACUAAUACUCUUGGAUAGUGGACGUUACUCGCAGAAUAAGCACCGGCUAACUCUGUGCCAGCCGCCGCCGUAA